CUAACCCUCAACUUCUCCAGCCAAGUCCACAAGAGACAACAGAGGACUUGAGGAUCCGACUCGGUGACCAGCAGAGCCCAGCCACAGUCACUACUGUUCAGCUCCUCCUGUGAACAAACAGCAGAGCCGACCUUUGCAGAAUGGUUUCCCCCGGAGGACCUUGUUCUGCCAUUGCUUUAGCAACGGGACGAGCCAUCGAGGUUGGGCCUGGAUUGUUUGGAUUUCUGCACAACUUUAUGCGACAGAGAAUCCUAGCGGUUCAUCCCAGGAGGACACCGACCCUGAACCUGCCCAGGAGCCCUUACGAACGUCUCUCAGCAAGGGCAAGUACUGUUUGGCCACCAGGGUCUCUCUCACAGUCCUGCUCAGCCCCCUUAUCGCUGACCUUUUGUCCAGCUCGGCGUGGACCUCUGGAGGAGACGGGAGACCAAGCGCUAGGCAGGAGAGACGCACACACAGGAGGUACUGCUGCACGUGCUUCCCAAUCAAUUCAACUUAAUCUUCACUGCUCUACAAAACGUCUUUUGGAGUGUCAUGGUGCUCGUUGGGAAACUCCAGAUGUUCAGUGAUGUUUUCCAGAGAAAGGAGCUACAGGACGACAUCAUCUGGAUUGUAAGCAGCCUAACUAAUCAGUAUGUAAACUCACGCUUUAGAACAUUAAUGCUAUUCAAAGUAUAAUGCAUUUCACAGCUGUAACUGAGAUCUGAUGAUAUUUAUACAUGCAGAUAAUGCCCAAGGGCUCACUUGCUUAUGAUGCGACAUGUCAGCAAAACAUGAAGCACCACGAGGCAAUUCUGUGAUUAAGGGGGACUGGAUGUUUGUAUAGUUGGAUAGCUCAGAAGAAGUCAACAUGGUUACACAAGGCUUUCAACCUUCACGGAUUAACCAUGAAAUCCACAUAUGAACA